rnacentral:rRNA from 1 species
UACGGGAGGCAGCAGUGGGGAAUAUUGCACAAUGGGCGCAAGCCUGAUGCAGCCAUGCCGCGUGUAUGAAGAAGGCCUUCGGGUUGUAAAGUACUUUCAGUCGUGAGGAAGGUGUUAAGGUUAAUAACCUUAGCAAUUGACGUUAGCGACAGAAGAAGCACCGGCUAACUCCGUGCCAGCAGCCGCGGUAAUACGGAGGGUGCGAGCGUUAAUCGGAAUUACUGGGCGUAAAGGGCACGCAGGCGGUUAAUUAAGUUGGAUGUGAAAUCCCCGGGCUUAACCUGGGAAUGGCAUUCAAGACUGGUUAGCUAGAGUCUUGUAGAGGGGGUAGAAUUCCAUGUGUAGCGGUGAAAUGCGUAGAGAUGUGGAGGAAUACCGGUGGCGAAGGCGGCCCCUGGGACAAAGACUGACGCUCAUGUGCGAAAGCGUGGGGAGCGAAA